rnacentral:rRNA from 1 species
AUUGAACGCUGGCGGCAUGCUUUACACAUGCAAGUCGAACGGUAACAGGCCUUCGGGCGCUGACGAGUGGCGAACGGGUGAGUAAUGCAUCGGAACGUGCCCAGAGGUGGGGGAUAACGCAGCGAAAGCUGUGCUAAUACCGCAUAUUAUCUGAGGAUGAAAGCGGGGGACUAAGCAGCAAUGUUUGGCCUCGCGCCCUUGGAGCGGCCGAUGUCAGAUUAGGUAGUUGGUGGGGUAAAGGCCUACCAAGCCGACGAUCUGUAGCUGGUCUGAGAGGACGACCAGCCACACUGGGACUGAGACACGGCCCAGACUCCCACGGGAGGCAGCAGUGGGGAAUUUUGGACAAUGGGCGCAAGCCUGAUCCAGCAAUGCCGCGUGCAGGAAGAAGGCCUUCGGGUUGUAAACUGCUUUUGUACGGAACGAAAAGGCUCUGGUUAAUACCUGGGGCUCAUGACGGUACCGUAAGAAUAAGCACCGGCUAACUACGUG